rnacentral:rRNA from 1 species
GACGAACGCUGGCGGCGUGCCUAAUACAUGCAAGUAGAACGCACAGUUUAUACCGUAGCUUGCUACACCAUAAACUGUGAGUUGCGAACGGGUGAGUAACGCGUAGGUAACCUGCCUGGUAGCGGGGGAUAACUAUUGGAAACGAUAGCUAAUACUGCAUAAUAUUGAUUAUUGCAUGCUAAUUGAUUGAAAGAUGCUAUUGCAUCACUACCAGAUGGCCCUGCAUUGUAUUAGCUAGUAGGUGAGGUAACGGCUCAACUAGGCGACGAUACAUAGCCGACCUGAGAGGGUGAUCGGCCACACUGGGACGGAGACACGGCCCAGACUCCUACGGGAGGCAGCAGUAGGGAAUCUUCGGCAAUGGACGCAAGUCUGACCGAGCAACGCCGCGUGAGUGAAGAAGGUUUUCGGAUCGUAAAGCUCUGUUGUAAGGGAAGAACGGGUGUGAGAGUGGAAAGUUCACACUGUGACGGUAUCUUACCAGAAAGGGACGGCUAACUACGUG